rnacentral:rRNA from 1 species
CCUACGGGUGGCAGCAGUCGAGAAUCAUUCACAAUGGGGGAAACCCUGAUGGUGCGACGCCGCGUGGGGGAAUGAAGGUCUUCGGAUUGUAAACCCCUGUCAUGUGGGAGCAAAUUAAAAAGAUAGUACCACAAGAGGAAGAGACGGCUAACUCUGUGCCAGCAGCCGCGGUAAUACAGAGGUCUCAAGCGUUGUUCGGAAUCACUGGGCGUAAAGCGUGCGUAGGCUGUUUCGUAAGUCGUGUGUGAAAGGCGCGGGCUCAACCCGCGGACGGCACAUGAUACUGCGAGACUAGAGUAAGGGAGGGGGAACGGGAAUUCUCGGUGUAGCAGUGAGAUGCGUAGAUAUCGGGAGGAACACUCGUGGCGAAGGCGGGUUCCUGGACAUUAACUGACGCUGAGGAACGAAGGCCAGGGGAGCGAAAGGGAUUAGAUACCCCUGUAGUC